rnacentral:lncRNA from 1 species
UGGAGAAAAGCUCUUUGAAUACUUUUUUUUGAUUUUUUGGAUCACAAAAUAUGAGAAAUUGGGCAAACAUACUGUAAUGGACAGAUUAUCAAAAUUGAAAGUUAAUAUACUAUACCGAGAAACAAAAAAAAAUUAAAUCAAGCUAGCUAAUGCCCACCCAAAAUAUUGUACCAAGAAACUUAAAAAUUGAACCAAUCUAACUAAUGCAAUAUUUCUUUUGUUACCACUUCCCUCUUUUUCUAUUUCUUUUUCCUUUUAUUUACUCCCAACAUAGCAAAAUUGUCUUAUCAGCAAGUAUAUUGUAGUGUCAAACCACUAUCCUUAAACCCUAGAAAGCAUUCCUCAAACCAUUAAACUAGGAAAGUAUUCUUCAUUUUCAAGUCUCUAAGACAUCCAAAUAAUAUUUUUUAUCGAUAUCGUCUGUCUAUUGUAGGAGUAUUCAAAUGCACCGAAUGAUGUUGAGGGUGCUAUAGAAGAUGAAGGUUUUGACGAUCCAUAUUAUAAUUUUUCUGAUGAAGAUGAUGACUUUUAGAAGGCUAUAGUUGAAGAAAAAAUAUAAGAGGUAAGGGGAGGCCUAGAAAUGCAUCGGGCCCUACCAAUGUACCAUCCAUUUUUGCCAUUGUUGUACUACCAUAUGUUAUUGAUGUUGAAUCUGAUUAUGCAGAUUCAGAUGAAUUGCGUGAAGAGGUUGAGUUUGAAGAGGAAGAAGAUAAGAUUCAAGAAGAGGUUGUAUAUGAAGAGUAUAAUGAAGCUAAACACAAAGAUAAGCCAACAUUGGAACAAGGGAUAAAGUUUGGAAGUUUUAGUCAAUUUAAACAAGCUUGUAUGGAGUGGGAUAUUAAAAAAUAGAAGACAACUAAAGUUUACUGUCACGACCCUAAAUUCCCUCCGAAAUCUUUAUCUACCGGCACGAGCAUACGU